rnacentral:rRNA from 1 species
CCUACGGGAGGCAGCAGUGGGGAAUCUUGCGCAAUGGGCGAAAGCCUGACGCAGCAACGCCGCGUGCGGGAAGAAGGCUCUCGGGUUGUAAACCGCUUUCAGCAGGAACGAAAAUGACGGUACUUGCAGAAGAAGGUGCGGCCAACUACGUGCCAGCAGCCGCGGUGACACGUAGGCACCAAGCGUUGUCCGGAUUUAUUGGGCGUAAAGAGCUCGUAGGCGGUUCGGUAAGUCAGGUGUGAAAACUUUGGGCUUAACCCAAAGCCUGCAUCUGAUACUGCCGUGACUAGAGUUCGGUAGGGGAGUGGGGAAUUCCUAGUGUAGCGGUGAAAUGCGCAGAUAUUAGGAGGAACACCGGUGGCGAAGGCGCCACUCUGGGCCGAAACUGACGCUGAGGAGCGAAAGCGUGGGUAGCAAACAGGAUUAGAUACCCUGGUAGUCCACGCCGUAAACGUUGGGCACUAGGUGUGGGUUCCAACCAACGGAAUCCGCGCCGUCGCUAACGCAUUAAGUGCCCGCCUGGGAUACGGCCGCAGGUUAAACCUUAAAGGAAUUGACGG